GUUUUUACGUGUAUAAGUAUACAAAAGUUAUUCGAGAUGAGUUACACUGCAUUUCUUUCAGUGUGCUGCCUGCCACUGCUGCCUUUGUGUGAUUUUGCUCUAUAUGUUCUGCUAGACAAAUUUAAGGGAGGUUUCAGACAGCAAAACUCCCCCCAAAGCAUCUACCAGCAUAAUCCCUAUCAAAAUCCCAACAACGUUUUAAUUUUUUUGCAGAAGUGGAAAAACCGAUGUUAAAAUUCAUAUGGAAUUGGCCGGGUGCGGUGGCUCACGCCUGUAAUCCCGGCAUUUUGGGAGUCUGAGUCAGGCAGAUCACUUGAGGUCAGGAGUUCGAGACCAGCCUGACCAACAUGGUGAAACCCCAUGUCUACUAAAAAUAUAAAAAUUAGCCGGAUGUGGUGGCAGGUACCUGUAAUCCCAGCUACUUGGAAGGCUGAGGCAGGAGAAUCGCUUGAACCCGGGAGAUGGAGGUUGCGGUGAGCCGAGAUCGCACCACUACGCUCCAGCCUAGUCAACAAGAGCGAAACUCCAUCUCAAAAAAAAAAAAAAAAAAAAAAAAAAAGAAUACU
rnacentral:lncRNA from 1 species